rnacentral:rRNA from 1 species
CCUGACUGCUAUCGGAUUGAUACUAAGCCAUGCUAGUCUUUGUAGUAGUACAAGGCAUACGGCUCAGUAACGCGUAGUCAACCUACCCUAUGGACGGGGAUAAUCUCGGGAAACUGAGCAUAAUACCCGGCAGACCACUUAUCCUGGAAUGGUUAGUGGUUAAAAUGAUUCGUCGCCAUAGGAUGGGACUGCGGCCUAUCAGCUUGUUGGUGAGGUAAUGGCCCACCAAGGCGAUUACAGGUACGGGCUCUGAGAGGAGAGGCCCGGAGAUGGGUACUGAGACAAGGACCCAGGCCCUAUGGGGCGCAGCAGGCGAGAAAACUUUGCAAUGUGCGAAAGCACGACAAGGUUAAUCCGAGUGAUUUCUGCUAAAGGAAUCUUUUGUUAGUUCUAAAAAUACUAGUGAAUAAGGGGUGGGCAAGUUCUGGUGUCAGCCGCCGCGGUAAAACCAGCACCUCAAGUGGUCAGGAGGAUUAUUGGGCCUAAAGCAUCCGUAGCCUGUUCUAUAAGUUUGCGGUUAAAUCUAUACGCUCAACGUAUAGGCUGCCGUAAAUACUGUAGAACUAGGGAGUGGGAGAGGUAGACGGUACUCGAUAGGAAGGGGUAAAAUCCUUUGAUCUAUUGAUGACCACCUGUGGCGAAGGCGGUCUACCAGAACACGUUCGACGGUGAGGGAUGAAAGCUGGGGGAGCAAACCGGAUUAGAUACCCGGGUAGUCCCAGCUGUAAACGAUGCAGACUCGAUGAUGCAAUGGCAUAGAGCUAUUGCAGUAUCGCAGGGAAGCCGUUAAGUCUGCCGCCUGGGAAGUACGUACGCAAGUAUGAAACUUAAAGGAAUUGGCGGGGGAGCACCACAAGGGGUGAAGCCUGCGGUUC